CGAACGACUUUACUCCAAACUUCUUUCAGACUUCGUCAAUGUCCGAGCUUCUUUGACAGCAGGAUUUCUACAGUAACCAGACUCCUUCCAAGUUUCUACAACGGUCGAUCACUUUCUGGAUUUCAUUCGAGCUCCUACAAGAGCCGGAUCCCAGCCGAACUUCUACAGUGGAUGGAUCACAUAUGAACUUCUGCAACGGGACAGGCUCCACCAACCGGAUCUCUACUCUGAACUUCUACAAUGGGAGAGGCUCUGCCAAUUAGGUCUCUACUCCGAACUUCUAUAACGGGACAGGCUCCAACUUCUACAAUGGGAGAGGCUCUGCCAAUAGGGUCUCUACUCC
rnacentral:lncRNA from 1 species